CGCCCCGCCGCCCCAAGAUGGUGGGCGAAAGCCGCGCCCGCCACGAACCUCAAACCCUGAGGAUUUUGUCAGACUUCAUGAAGUAAACUUGGGGCCGGGCUCUGACUAAGUGGCUGCAGGUCUGCUGAAAGGUGGUAAUCACAGCUGUACC